rnacentral:rRNA from 1 species
CCAGACUCCUACGGGAGGCAGCAGUGGGGAAUAUUGCACAAUGGGGGGAACCCUGAUGCAGCGACGCCGCGUGGGUGAAGGAGUAUUUCGGUAUGUAAAGCCCUAUCAGCAGGGAAGAACAAUGACGGUACCUGACUAAGAAGCACCGGCUAAAUACGUGCCAGCAGCCGCGGUAAUACGUAUGGUGCAAGCGUUAUCCGGAUUUACUGGGUGUAAAGGGAGCGCAGGCGGCGCGUUAAGCCUGGUGUGAAAGCCCGGGGCCCAACCCCGGGACUGCUCUGGGAACUGUGCGGCUGGAGUGCGGGAGGGGCAGGCGGAAUUCCUGGUGUAGCGGUGAAAGGCGUAGAUAUCAGGAGGAACACCGGCGGCGAAGGCGGCCUGCUGGACCGCGACUGACGUUGAGGCUCGAAAGCGUGGGGAGCAAACAGGAUUAGAUACCCUUGUA